rnacentral:rRNA from 1 species
AUGUUCGAGUAUCUAAAUGUUGUCAGCAAGAUGUUUGAUAGUGAGGCUGAAGGCUAUGAAUUCUACAACAAAUAUGCUCUUGAAAAAGGUUUUAGUGUGAGGAAAAGCUACGUUGAGUGGGAUGGAUCCAACAAAUACAUAAUUUUAAGGAAAAUUGUGUGUAGUCGUCAAGGGUUUAGCGAAGAGAAGCACAUGAAAAGAAAGAUGGAAGAUAGAAAGAGGAGGCCACGAAGUUUAACUCGUGUUGGGUGUAAUGCUAAAUUGGUCAUUAUGAGACAGGAGGAAACCGGUCGGUGGUUUGUCAAGGAUUUCAUCGAUGAGCACAGCCAUCCUCUAGCCCCACGGGAUCUUUCUUGUCUGCUGCGUUCGCACAGACGAAUUAGCGAUGAGCAGAAAGCGGACAUUGCGGACAUGGAAAAAUGUGGGAUCCGCAAAUACCGUAUUAUGGAUAUUUUGUGCUUUCAAUACGGUGGAUUUGAUAAGGUUGGAUGCAUAAAGAGGGACAUUUAUAAUUUCUGCCAUGCUAAUAAGCAGGAGACAAUCAGUGCCGGUGAUGCUAAUACGGUGAUCAUGCACAUGAUGGUGAGGCGAGAGCGAGAUGUGGAUUUUUUCUUCAAGUACUUGGUAGACGAGCAUGGCCAUCUGAAGGGACUGUUCUGGGCAGAUAGUCAAUCGCGACUUGACUACGAGGCUUUCGGAGACGUCAUUGUUUUCGAUAGCACAUACAGAACCAACAAAUACAAUCUGCCAUUCGUGCCGUUUGUCGGGUUGAAUCACCACCGGAGCACUGUCAUUUUUGGCUGUGGUAUAAUUUCUCAUGAAACAAGCCAGGCAUACGAGUGGAUGUUGCGGACCUUUUCUGAUUGCAUGGCACAGAAGCAUCCGAUAUCUGUGAUCACAGAUGGGGACCUUGCAAUGCAGAGAGCAAUCAGGUUGGUCUGGCCAGACUCAAACCAUAGACUAUGUAUAUGGCACAUUCAGCAGAACAUUGUACGCCAUCUGCAUGAUGACGACGUAAAGGAGGAAUUCAGAUCUUUCAUUUAUGAUACUUCUUCCAUUGAAGAGCAUGAGAUAGAAUGGAUAUACUUCUUACAACGGAAUAAAGUAACCAGUGAGGAGUCUUGGCUGCAUCAGAUGUAUCAAAUGAGAAAGUUGUGGUGUGCUCCAUAUCUUGAGGGGCGUUGUUUCCUAGGAUUGAGCAGCAAUCAGAGGAGUGAGAGCUUGAACUUUGUCCUACAUACGCAUCUUGAGGGUAAGAUGUCGUUGUUUGAAAUGCUAGAGCACUAUGAGCGUUGCCUUGCGUCGCGACGGAUUAACGAAGCUCUCCAUGACGUCGAAGCCUUGCAGUCCGUUCCAUUUACAGAGGAAAAUGCUUCGCCGCUUGAGAAACACGCCGCAACAGUUUUCACACCUAGUGUCUUUAAGAUGGUCUUAUGGAGCAUAGAUGCUGUCAGCAAAUGUCAGAUCAGAGAGAUACUAGAUGGAUCGGAAGAUUCCACUUAUGUUGUGUCCAAGCAGGAAAGAAUGGAUAAAAAGUUUGGAGUGCGCAUUGAAGAGCAAGGAGGUCUUUUGCACAGGGUGAGUUGUUCUUGCCGUAAGCUGGAAUGCGCAGGCACACCAUGUUCCCACAUUUUUUACAUAUUGGGGAUUUUAAAACAAACAAUUCUGCCCAGUUGUUGCGUUCCCACUAGGCGGACUAUGAAUGCAAAAUGUGCAUACGCGCCUACCAGAAAAAACCAGAUGUCUGACUAUUCGGUAAGCCUGCAGAGGUACCGCGAGUUGCGGAAUUGUAGUCACGCCGCAAGUUUCAAGGCAUGCCACUCUGAUGAGGACUAUCACCGUCUAAUUAUGCUUUUGCAAGCACAACAUCAUGGCAAGCAAUCAAGUUUUGAACAAGCUGACAGCAAGGAGUCAACUAAUGCUCAGCAUAACAACAUUAGGUUUGGCCCGUUGAUGCCGCACUCGGAGAAAGUUGAUAAGGUUCUGGAUCCCGUGCAUGUGCCAGGCCGAGGUGCACCGAAGAAAAGGCUGCAGGCAAAGACAAAGAAGUCUUAA